rnacentral:lncRNA from 1 species
AUGGGUAGGUGGGCCCCAGGUCCGUCAGAGGCCAGGCCAGGCUGCCCACUGAUCUGGCUGCCCACUGAUCUGGGGCGGGCGCUUCCUUCCUGGGAAGGGCCAGCCAAGAGGCAAGCGGGGCGCAUGUGCACCUGGCCCCUUCCUCCCUCCGCUCAUGCUCUGCCCCGCUCCCUUGCUCUCUCUUCAGAUUUAGACAUGGCUCGAGAGCACAAGCCCGGCCCUGCCCAGCCAAGCCAGAAGAGGCAGCGGGGCAUAGCCAUCUCCUGGUGCGGUAACUAUGACCUGGACUACGAGGGGUACAGGGAAGAUGUCCCCUACAGGGUGUAUGAAUACCGCAGGAUCCCUCCACUCCUCAACCGUGUGCCUGUCAAGAUCCGGAGGACCCAUGUGGGCGUCGGAGUGAAGAGCAGCUUCAGUCCUCACAAGGCCCCCAGGAAUAGCCAACUGCCCCCAGGGCAGAUAAAACUGCGGACUAAGGAGCUGCACUCCAUCAGAGGGGAGCUGAGCCAGAUCAAAGCCCAGGUGGACUGCCUAUUGGAGAGUCUGGAGCGCAUGCACCAGCAGAGGGAGCAGCAUCCAGGGACAGAGGACAGUGAAGACAACAGGGGCCCUGAUAGUAAGGGUUCCUCAUGCAGACCUACUGAGCCCCAGCAGGAGCCCAGGGGCCAGAGCGCCCAUCCAGAGGCAGAAAGCCCCAAGGAGAGCACAGACCCGGAGGAGGCAGUGAGUGGCCUGACACCUCCCCCCAUCCUCACCCUCCUUGUGUUUGGGUCCUUGUGGCCUCCCUAUGAGCAAGGGAGGGACUUGGGCUUCUGUGGGAGCCUACAGUGGGUUGGGGGAGACAUAUGACUUCAAGCACAGGCAAUGCCCAGGAGAUGGGCCCUGCCCUGGUUUUUAUUCCAACUAGGGACUGGUUGGCUCAGCUGGACCAGUUCUGGGCUGAAAUACCAUCUCAUCCUGGAAGACGCGGGGAGGGGGGUAGAGCUUUGAGCAUUGUAGAGGGAAUGUCACAGCUGUGCCCUCGGCCCCAGAUCCCUUGCCUGAGAACCACCUGGUAAGCUUGUUAAGACUCAGAUUUCUGCCCUUUUCCUGUCCGGUGCACUCACCUGCUGCCCCAGGGUCUUUGGACUGUCUGCAUUGUACUAUGCUCCCCAGGGAAGCUGUGGCACAGACGUUUCUGGAUGAAUAUCCACACCUGAUCUGAUAAUGACCUUUUGUGCAGCACUAAAGGGCUGGAAUGUUCCCUGCCCUACCAUAUCCUCCUUCCCUAUGGGUGGUCCCUGAGGCAGGCCAAGCCCACACUAUUUGGGCCAUCUCAGCAAGGCUGGGGCUGCUGGGGAGUCGGCAGUGAUGAGCUCCCCUUCCUCCACCUACCAGCUCUGCCCCUGGGCCUGCUGGGUUCCAGAGGGCCCUCACUGAGACCAAGGCCUGAGUCACAUCUGGGAAAAGACUGGGCUAGAUGGAGAGAAUGCUUUCUUUUGUCUGGUGGUUCUGGGUUCAGGAAGAAUCUAGAAUAGCACUGAGCUGCCAGAGCUGCCAAGAAAGGGAGGUGGGGGUGGGGAAGACUGGGAGAUGUUAGCAGAUGGCCCUCCCUUUCCCAGCCAUACCGUACAUCUUAGCCCUCCUGGCCAGAGUCCUGCUUCUGUUUUUCCUACAGGUGAAAAAUCACGCAUCUGACCAGGAGGUCGGCCAGUAGAAGGUGGAACCCCUCCAGGCUCAUUAGCUCUAGGCACCUUCCCAGGUGGCUCCAUUCCUUCCCUCGUGUGGUUUUUCAAAGGCCUCCCGAUCGCACCCACGCAACCAGAGUCUGGAGCCAGGGCAACCGGAAGUGGAGGCACAGCUCAUCCAGACCAGCCAGGAAGCCUCCCUAAGGGUAGCUUUAGCUUUGCAGGUUGUUUCCAGAUGAUAGUCUAGGGACUGGCAGGGACGGGAGGGAGGAGGCACAGAACUGUCCUCAUGAAGGUGAGGCCCAGUCUUGCAAGGAGCAGCUGGACAGGGUCCCCCUGGGAGCACCACUAGCCCUGUCUGACUGCAGGUACUGCUUUGGCUGCUCUUCUCUCCUCCCAAGGCCCCGCCAGUCCUGUCUGGGUGUGGAGCAUCCUAGAGCAGCUGGCCCAGACAGCUUUCUCCAGCCACAGUGGUGCAGAGGAAAUGUACUCCUGUUCCUAGUCGGCCUUCCAGUCUGAAACUGAGAUUUAAGGUCCUCAGCACGUGCCCCACAUAACCCCUUUUGGUUCCAGACUCCCUAUCUACCCUACAAAGCCAUCCUUCAGAAGAGGGGUAUCAUUUUUAGGUCCCCUUUCUAUUUUGUCUCUUGCUGGUGUGAUACUAUUUCAGAUCUGCUCUGGAAAUACUACAUCAGAAGGGGAAAAAUAAAGUUUCUAUUUCUUUUCCCUGGUCA